CCUACGGGAGGCAGCAGUGAGGAAUAUUGGUCAAUGGACGAGAGUCUGAACCAGCCAAGUAGCGUGAAGGAUGACUGCCCUAUGGGUUGUAAACUUCUUUUAUAUGGGAAUAAAACGUUCCACGUGUGGGAUUUUGUAUGUACCAUAUGAAUAAGGAUCGGCUAACUCCGUGCCAGCAGCCGCGGUAAUACGGAGGAUCCGAGCGUUAUCCGGAUUUAUUGGGUUUAAAGGGAGCGUAGGUGGAUUGUUAAGUCAGUUGUGAAAGUUUGCGGCUCAACCGUAAAAGUGCAGUUGAAACUGGCAGUCUUGAGUACAGUAGAGGUGGGCGGAAUGCGAGGUGUAGCGGUGAAAUGCUUAGAUAUCACGAAGAACUCCGAUUGCGAAGGCAGUUCACUGGACUGCAACUGACACUGAGGCUCGAAAGUGUGGGUAUCAAACAGGAUUAGAUACCCUUGUAGUC
rnacentral:rRNA from 1 species